GGACUACAAGGGUAUCUAAUCCUGUUCGCUCCCCACGCUUUCGCUCCUCAGCGUCAGUACCGGCCCAGACCACCGCCUUCGCUACUGGUGUUCCUCCUGAUAUCUGCGCAUUUCACCGCUACACCAGGAAUUCCAUGGUCCCCUACCGGACUCCAGCCAUAGCAGUAUCGAGUGGCGACUCCAGGUUGAGCCUGGAGGUUUCACACCCGACUUACUAAGCCGCCUACGAGCUCUUUACGCCCAGUGAAUCCGGACAACGCUCGCCCCCUACGUAUUACCGCGGCGGCUGGCAC
rnacentral:rRNA from 1 species